rnacentral:rRNA from 1 species
AGCGAACGCUGGCGGCAGGCCUAACACAUGCAAGUCGAACGGACCCUUCGGGGUUAGUGGCGGACGGGUGAGUAACACGUGGGAACGUGCCUUUAGGUUCGGAAUAGCUCCUGGAAACGGGUGGUAAUGCCGAAUGUGCCCUUCGGGGGAAAGAUUUAUCGCCUUUAGAGCGGCCCGCGUCUGAUUAGCUAGUUGGUGAGGUAAAGGCUCACCAAGGCGACGAUCAGUAGCUGGUCUGAGAGGAUGAUCAGCCACAUUGGGACUGAGACACGGCCCAAACUCCUACGGGAGGCAGCAGUGUGGAAUCUUGCGCAAUGGGCGAAAGCCUGACGCAGCCAUGCCGCGUGAAUGAUGAAGGUCUUAGGAUUGUAAAAUUCUUUCACCGGGGACGAUAAUGACGGUACCCGGAGAAGAAGCCCCGGCUAACUUCGUGCCAGCCGCCGCGGUAAAAC